UACAGAGGUCUCAAGCGUUGUUCGGAUUCAUUGGGCGUAAAGGGUGUGUAGGUGGCGUCGUAAGUCGGGUGUGAAAUCUCGGGGCUUAACUCCGAAACUGCAUUCGAUACUGCGGUGCUUGAGGACUGGAGAGGAGACUGGAAUUUACGGUGUAGCAGUGAAAUGCGUAGAGAUCGUAAGGAAGACCAGUGGCGAAGGCGGGUCUCUGGACAGUUCCUGACACUGAGACACGAAGGCCAGGGGAGCAAACGGG
rnacentral:rRNA from 1 species